CCCCUAGAUGUUCUGGGCCGCACGCGCGCUACACUGAACAGUUCAACAAGUCUUAACCUUGGCCGAUAGGUCUGGGUAAUCUUUGAACGCUGUUCGUGAUUGGGAUAGACCUUUGCAAUUAUGGGUCUUGAACGAGGAAUUCCUAGUAAACGCAGUUCAUCAAACUGCAUUGAUUACGUCCCUGCCCUUUGUACACACCGCCCGUCGCACCUACCGAUUGAAUGGUCCGGUGAAGCCUCGGGAUUGUGGCUGGUUUCCUUUAUUGGAGGUCGGUCGCGAGAACUUGUCUAAACCUUAUCAUUUAGAGGAAGGUGAAGUCGUAACA
rnacentral:rRNA from 1 species